ACAAAGAGGCAGAGGCAGAGGAAGCAGGAUGUUGAAGACUGGAGUUUCUAAUCCCAACUUCAGCUAACUAAUAAUUAUGUGAUUUUGAGCAAAAAGUCUUUUCACGUCCUGGUGCUUUUCUCAUCCAUCCAAGAUCUGCCUUCUUGACCUCAAACAGGAAGGUAAUAGCUGUGAAGUGUUUUGAUACCCAAAGCAUCACUCCAACACAAAGAUCGGCCGAUUCCAGUGCCUCCCUAGAAGGUACAUUUCUUCCUUCCAAGGCAAGGGAAAAGAAGGUGUCUGCCGGUGUAGCCACCCUGUUCUCAGUCCAAAUCAAGACCCUUGGUUUGAGGACAAGACUAUUAUAGAUCCUUGGCAUUUGUACAAUUGGCAUUUUAGCCAUUCCCAAAAGGUCCUUGACGGGUGUAUUUUCCAUUUCGUAGGGGCACAGAUCUGCGUUACUCACUUGCUACUGAGUGAAUCUAGUGGAUGGUCCAGCAACUUCAUCCAAGAUGGCUCACUGUUCUCUUGUUGUAACAGACAUAGUAACUAAUUAAGUGAUGAAAAACGUCCUUUGUAAACAAGUGCUCUGAAUUCAUGACAUUGGCCCUCUCGAAAGUCUCAGGAGAGACUGUGCAUGAGGGACGUGGGUCUCCAGUAAAGUGUUUAUUUGCAGUCAGGAGACUGGCCUAUGACAGCCAUCUCCAGAAUCCGUCCAACAUGCCUUGAAGAACAGCCCCAGGAAGUGGCUUCCUUUUAUGGCCGUCUAAGGUUCCGGUUCCUAGAAACAGCUGAUUCCAACAGCACCCGAUGACUACACAUCACCUGAGGGGGCAUGAGGCCAGGAGUGGAUGAAAACCACAUUUUACUUGGACACCAAAGCGUGCUGCAGUCUGAAUUGCAACCAUACCCUGCAAUGGUCCCAGCGCCUGCAGCAGAAUUUGCACCGAGUUUAUUUCCGUUCCACCCAGGGAACAUGUGUGCUCUUACAAAUGCGCACCACACCCGAGUCCGCGCCAAAGACAGUUGCAACAAAUUGCACCACCUGGAUUUUUUGGUGUGUAAUAGCUAGCCUAUGUUGGCAGUGCAAGUUGGCCAGUUGUGUGCUAUAUUAAACCCUUCCUAUUCCUUUUCUCGUUUGUGCCCUUGGCUGCCCAGAGGAAGGAAUUUAGCCAGCAUUAGAAGAAUGCACUGAAGUCCUGUUUCCUAAACUCUAGGGGAGAUCUGAGUGGGAGGGGAAGACCUGGCUAGCAGGACAGAACCUGUUUUCUGUCUUUUUUCCCCAGGCCAGUAGCUGGGCCCAGCUGACACAUGUUAGUGGGAGGGGCGUGGGCAAGGGAAGGGAGUGGAAGCACUUUUCCUGAGGAUUCAUCCUGGCCCAGGGUUUUCAGCUGCCACCCUCGCAAGCCUCAUCCCUCUGCCUGGACAGGUCCAAUGGGCCCAGGCAGAAUGGGCUGCAGGUGAGACCAGUCAUCCCCCUGCCCUCACCAGAAGCCCCAGCCCGGGCCAGAAACCCGAUGGAACCUAGCUGCUCUCUUUAUUUGACCCUCCAGUCAAGUAUCUGGACUGCUGGGCCAAAGGUCAUCUUUUUCUCUGACGUCUCUGCCUGGGCCCGCACAUGCUUGGUGACAUGGAAUAAUGGAUGCACAGAUGUCCAGGAGAGUCUGCUUGCUAUGAACGCCGUGGAAUAGAGAGCCUAUGAAGCCCUCAAGAACCUAGCCGGGGGGAAGUCCAGGCACUUUCAAAUGAGGAAGGGGUUCCCAGAAGCCCAAGGAAGGUGGCCAACAGCUGUAAAUCUCUCUCAUGACACAGCUUCGCAGACAGUGAGCGCGCUGAAGGGGUCUCAAAGACCUGGAUGCCACCUGCCUCAAAUGAAAACAGUUCUGGGUGUACUCUGAUGCUUUUGCAAAAAUGUUCCUGUAAAAGGGUUUCAUCUUCAAGGAAUUCAUGGAAAAGACUCUGACAAGUACAGGUUUCUGGUAACUGACUAUACUGCUGAACUGAAUGAAUAAGCAUUUUCAGAACUCUAAUGGAAAACUGAUGAAUUCAUAAAAGUGCUAACAAAAGAUCAAGAUGACAAAAAAAUUAAUUACAUGGGACUGAGUGAACUGUUGAGGAUGAUUAUAAUUUUUGUGACUUUGUUUGAAUAAAAAAAAUAUUAAAAAAAAGCAGUGGUUCUCAAUCACAGGCAAUUUUGCCCCCCAGGGUACAAUUGGCAAUG